AUUUUUUUAGAUUCCAUGUAUAAGUGAGAUGACAAAGUAUGUGUCUUUCUGUGCCUGGCUUAUUUCACUGAACAUAAUGUUCUCCAGGAAAAUACUCUUAUCUG
rnacentral:antisense_RNA from 1 species